rnacentral:lncRNA from 1 species
UUUUUGUAACAAAAAAUAAAUAAAUUCAAUCAUACUGUAGCACAAUAAACUAUUAAAUUUACAAUAUCAAGUGGGCCUACAAUAACUAGAAUUAAAGAAGCUGUGAACCUACAGUUUGGAAAAUGCAAUCCAAUGGAAAUCUCCGAUGGAACCAGCUAUCUACAGCCUACUCUGAUCCUGAAAUGGGUGGAAAGGAGGGUGGUGAGAUUAUAAAAUCCCAGUGAGUAAACAAACACCAUUUAAAUCAGCUAAAGCCGAGUAAAAGGAGACAAUUAAAAUAUCCCAUCAUUUUAAGUAUUUCACAAUUUGAAAAUUCAUCCCAACCCAUGCAAACGGUUGUAUUUCAUUUAAUUUCUCAUUAGGGCUUAUGACUUUCAUAAACAGUUGGCUCAUGCCAUCAAAUAUACUUGAUGACACCUUGAUCAGAGGCGUACACUCGAGCCCGCCAAGGCUGUUAAAAAUUUUGUAUAUACCUAAAACAUAUUUUUAGUUUAAGAAAACACAGCCGUUCCUUGGCUUUGGCUGAGUUCCCCUUCACGUGGUGGUUUGGCGUGAAGUGAACCCUAAGCUUUACCCCAGGAGAUACCCUACGCUCCUCUCCAUUUGAGGUAAGAAUAUAAUGGGGUUUACCGUGCCCCUCUAAAAGGCUGGUCCACAGAAACCCCCUACUGCAGUGAUUAAUUAAUAUAUAAUCCACCAAUCAAUAAAAUUCAUUCUAGCAUGACAUGGCAAUUAUUAUAAUUCACAGACUUUCAAGGCUAAAUACACAUUUCAUAUAUUUCAACACCAAUACCAAUUCAGCCAUUCAUGCAAAUACUGUCAUAAGCCAUUAGAUUCAUAAAUUUAAUUCAUAACAAGUGGUCUCCAAUUACUCUAUUUUUCAAAAUCAUCAUUCAAUUUUAAAACAAUUUAUAACAUCUUUUCAUGUAGACACAAUUUGUUUGUAAAACUCAAGAUUUACCAUUUAAUUUCAUUUUCAUAAAAUUUCAUCAAAAUCGAUUAAAAAUAUGCUUUAGAUAAUAAAAAUGAUGGUAAGGUUACUCACAGUACUAGGAGUUCGAUAUACUCCUAUUCUCGGUCUUCGGGCACAAUCUCUUUACCCUUGUUAGAGGACUCACCACCUAUACAUCAUACAUGACACGAAUUUCAAUAAAUUGUGUCAAUUUAUCAUAAACUAUUUCAGGCUCUCUAAAUCUAAAUGAAUGUAUGCGAUGGGAUGGGAUGCAAAAUGUCUAAUUAAUCACUUAAAUGUGAUGUUCGACCUAAAUCACACUAUAAUCAGUCUAAUCGGCUAAAAUCUCCAAUUUAACUCCAAAUCAAUUCUUCUCACUUUCUACACUCCAAUUUUACCUAAAUUACCUCAGUGACUGUGAAUGAGAUUCAAUUUAUCAAUCUCGGGUCAAUAAUCACACAUGUCUAUACAUUAGGUAAAAAUUCAAAUUUUCACACCAAAAUUUCCCAUUUAAUUUCUAGCCUCACCAAACAUCAAAUAUCACCCAAAUAUCAUGAAAUAUCAUCAAUUUCAGCCACAAUAUCCUCCCUAGGAAAUUCGGCCAAUAAUGGUGAUGGGGGAAAAUGAAUUCUUUUCUUGUUGUUUUGUUUCUAAAUAUGCUAAACUAACUAAAAACACUAACAUAACUUAUAAUCAAAUCACUCUAACUUCAUUCUCUCUCCAUACACAUUUAGGCAGCCAUGAAUUCACCAUGAAAACAUGAAAUCUAACCAUGGAAAAUAAGGAGAAAAGCAUGGAAAAGGUAGAUCACAAGUCAAAAUCAAGAAAUUUUACCUUUGAUUGCUUGAUUCCUUGAAAUCCCACACUUUUUCUUUAAUUUUCCCACCUAGGUUUCUUGUUUUUCUUUUCCUCUCUUUGUUCUUGCUAUGGCCGGCCACAUGAAGAGAAAAU